rnacentral:rRNA from 1 species
CUGGGUUGGAACCCCCCGGAACCUUCCAGAGAUGGAGGGGUGCCCGCAAGGGAAUCGGGUGUCCAGGUGCUGCAUGGCUGUCGUCAGCUCGUGUCGUGAGAUGUUGGGUUAAGUCCCGCAACGAGCGCAACCCUUGUCGUUAGUUGCCAGCGGUUCGGCCGGGCACUCUAACGAGACUGCCGGUGUUAAACCGGAGGAAGGUGGGGAUGACGUCAAGUCCUCAUGGCCCUUAUGCCCAGGGCUACACACGUGCUACAAUGACCGGUACAAAGGGUUGCUAACCCGCGAGGGCACGCUAAUCUCAAAAAACCGGCCUCAGUUCAGAUUGAAGUCUGCAACUCGACUUCAUGAAGUCGGAAUCGCUAGUAAUCCCUGAUCAGCAGGCAGGGGUGAAUACGUUCCC